rnacentral:rRNA from 1 species
AAUGAUGGCCAGGCUGUCUCCACCCGAGACUCAGUGAAAUUGAACUCGCUGUGAAGAUGCAGUGUACCCGCGGCAAGACGGAAAGACCCCGUGAACCUUUACUAUAGCUUGACACUGAACAUUGAGCCUUGAUGUGUAGGAUAGGUGGGAGGCUUUGAAGUGUGGACGCCAGUCUGCAUGGAGCCGACCUUGAAAUACCACCCUUUAAUGUUUGAUGUUCUAACGUUGGCCCGUAAUCCGGGUUGCGGACAGUGUCUGGUGGGUAGUUUGACUGGGGCGGUCUCCUCCUAAAGAGUAACGGAGGAGCACGAAGGUUGGCUAAUCCUGGUCGGACAUCAGGAGGUUAGUGCAAUGGCAUAAGCCAGCUUGACUGCGAGCGUGACGGCGCGAGCAGGUGCGAAAGCAGGUCAUAGUGAUCCGGUGGUUCUGAAUGGAAGGGCCAUCGCUCAACGGAUAAAAGGUACUCCGGGGAUAACAGGCUGAUACCGCCCAAGAGUUCAUAUCGACGGCGGUGUUUGGCACCUCGAUGUCGGCUCAUCACAUCCUGGGGCUGAAGUAGGUCCCAAGGGUAUGGCUGUUCGCCAUUUAAAGUGGUACGCGAGCUGGGUUUAGAACGUCGUGAGACAGUUCGGUCCCUAUCUGCCGUGGGCGCUGGAGAACUGAGGGGGGCUGCUCCUAGUACGAGAGGACCGGAGUGGACGCAUCACUGGUGUUCGGGUUGUCAUGCCAAUGGCACUGCCCGGUAGCUAAAUGCGGAAGAGAUAAGUGCUGAAAGCAUCUAAGCACGAAACUUGCCCCGAGAUG